GAGAACAAAAAAACGACCCCCACCCUGUACAUGGGCUUCAUCUUCCUUACACCUAAGUAGUUAAACCCUAGAUCUAACAAGGAACCUAACCAGCCGUUUCUGAUCUUGAGAGACAAUGAUCGUCUGCCUGAAAAACCAAAAUAAACUCUAGAGCUAGGAACCCAUCAGUUUCUUCUUAACAAAGAACACCAAGUACCCUAGAAGAACUCCUCAUCUCCUCCAUACCCUAAGCAACCAAGACCACCAGCAGAACACAGCAGCCCCACUCGUCUCUGCUCCUUCUUCUUCACUUCACAACCAAACAUCAUCAGAAACGCGCAUGCAUAGAAGAAGUCAACAGCCAUCCAUCGUCUUAUCUUCUCCAGUCAUCGCCGGUCCACGGCAAGCGAAGCUUCGAUCUAAAAGAAUGAGGAGAAUAGUGAAUAAUUAGCCGCUGCUUUAUUCUAUCUUCUAACAUCUUCAAAUACUCAAAUAUGCCACCAUGAACAAGGACACACAACCACCUAUUUAAUCGCUACCACAAAAUAGUCACUGCCUAUUAGACGUUUAUGUUUCUUCAUUUAGUUCUGAUUUUUGGUUUUCGAGUGUGGGGAUGGAGUUAAGCCGAGGUUGAUUCGAGUUUGUCACCGAUUGGAGGUUCAAGUCGUGUCGUGCAUGUUCCUAUUAGUGGCUCUUGAAUCAUUUUGAUGCUGUUCUUUGCAAUCGGAUCCAAUAGAUUUGAGGCAUUGUAUUUGCACCUUCCCGAUUAAUCGAAAAGUUUUGCACGUUAAGGUCCAAUUCUUCAAUCCUUUAUCAUUCUAGUGUUAAUUGUGUUUGGUGUUUUGAUUCUGUGACUUGUUAUAUACGAUUUUGAAUGUGUCUGCUCGUAUGUCUACUUGAACUAACUGAGAGUGAAUUGGAAUCACACGUCUAGUUAGUUGAAUCAUAUGCUUAAUUUGGAUUCGAAUAUUGGACUGUCAGUGGUUGGAUUCGUAUGUCUAUUAUUUGUAUGUUUACUUAAUGAGCACAAAAGUGACAGUAGUAUACAUUUGUUAAGAACAACAUUGUGUUUUACCAAUCUCAUUAGUUGGUACAGCGAAACCCUUGUUUCUCUUUAAAUGUGAUUGCAAAAACAUAAUCAGAAUGCUUUUUCUUUCAAUAUUCCGUUAGUAGCAUGUUUAGGCCGUCAUCAUAUGGGUAGGCAAACUUUUCGGCGCGUAAGUAAAUUAUCACGACUACUGGUAUGGUUCCCAUGAUGUAGUUGCGAUACACAAUUUCCAAAUUCGGGUGUACAUUUCAUGUGACCCGACUUCUAAUUUCCAACAAGGUUAAAUAGAACAUAUCGUGAAUGGCGGGUGCAUUUCAUGUAGCAUGGCUUACGCUAUAUUGGUGGGAGGACCUUUCCUCAAGUGACAAGAAGCAUGUGAAAAAGUACCUGGGUAACUUGCCUUCCUUGCUAGAUAUUGAACCAAACAAAAAGUUGAUCGAGGCU
rnacentral:lncRNA from 1 species